CAUAGUAUAUAACAUAAUAAACGCAUGUAUAAUAAUAUUAUGUACCCUACCUAAACAUCGACCGCACGACGCAAACUGCAGUGCCGUUUGGUUUCCCGCGGAAGAUAAUUGAUUUAUUGUAGUGGUGCACAGACGUCUGCGGACUUCGAAAUACAUAUUAAUUAGACGAAUUAAUGGAAACGAAAUAAUAAUAUAUAACUCGCCAGUGUUAUAUUUUGUACACCGCGGCUAUAGGACAUUAACCUCGAGAGAACGCCAUGCUGCGGACAGACGAUGUACAUUCAAACGAAUCGAAAGCAUUACAGAACGGAUUUGCUAAUUCGAUGUCAUUUCAUUUCUUAGUUCAGGCGCAUUAAAUAUAUAAUAAUAUAUAAAUAUAAACAGCCAACAAGGUCGGUUUAUAUAGGCGCGCUGCCGGUGAGUUGUCGUGCGUAUUGCAUUCCAGCCAAACAAGUUGAUCAACAAAUUUAAUUUCGCGCAAAACCAUUCAUUCGUAAAAAAUAAAAUGUUUUCAGUAAUAUUUUUUUGGUUACGCCAAAUUACGGAUUCAGUGCUCGUAAAAAUAUUAAUCGAUUACGUAUUAAUUUGGUAAACAGAAAUACCUAUACACACGUAAUAGCGUUUCUAAAUUUAAUAUUAUCUGUGGUAAUAAUAUCAACCGGGUAAAAUUUAAAUAUUCAUUUAUAUACACCGAGUGGCGAGUAGUAUCGUUGCAGAUUAUGUGCUGAAUAAACUUGAAUUUCAAUUACAUAUUUGCAUCAUUACUAUGCCUUACAUCGAUUAUAAUAAUAUUAAAAUAUGUAUUGUUUUUCAAUACAAUACGUGCUUAAAAUAAUUAUUUACAAUUAUAAAAAUAGAUUUUAUCUAUAGUUUAAUGUGUAAUAUUAUUUUAAAAAUUUAUUAUGACAAUCAAAUGAUUUAUAUUAUAGUCAUAGGUCAAAUUGAUUUUAUCUUUAAUUGCGCAUCGAUGCCCCACAACUACACAAAUACGAAAGUAGUACUUGUAGUACGAAGUACCUGCUCAACGGCCAACAUAAAAUUAGUACCAUUUUAGUAUUCAAAGUCUAUAAAAUGAACCUUUUAAUAAUAAAUGGGAGGCUAGUAAACAAUUUGUACGUAAAAGUUUCUCUUAAUGUUUUUAUUAUGUAUAAUGUAUCUGAAUAAUAAUAAAUCAUCUAAUAAGUAAUAUUACGAGAAAUAUAAAAAUCAUGUUAUGUCUAAAAAAAUGUUUAAACAAGUAAAUACGUUUA